rnacentral:lncRNA from 1 species
GAAGAAAAUUGUACAGUAAAUCGAACAGUUAUCAUCGUAUCUUUAGCAACAAGUCGAGAAUUACGUUUAUGUUGUAAAAACUGUGUAAACAAUACAAGAUUUUCCGGUAUGUAUCCUUAACCUACAUAUUGUUAUACUAAUGCGUAUUACAAAUUCACUUUAAUUCCUUAACAUGUAUAUAUAGUUAGCCCUUUCUUGACGUUUUUCAUAAUAUAUUCACAAAUAUGAAUACUAAAAUUGCAAUUUGCGUUUUUGCUUGUCUCUUUGGUAGGUUAAAGUUUUAUACUUAUUCUUAUAAUUUAUUGUCUAUUAUAAGCAUGCAUUUAUUAUCAUGAUUUCUUUCAAAAUUAUUACGACAGAAUAUUAUCAUACAUUAAUAAAUGCACUUGAAACGUAGAAUUGAUGAGGGGGGGUAGGAGGGGUCCUGAUCCCGAAAUCCCGGGCUUAAAAACACGAAAUCCCGAAAUCCCGGGCUUAAAUUAACGAAAUCCCGAGGUCCCGAAAUUCGAAUAAAGAAUUCCCGGAUCCCGAGAGGGUCAAUCCCGAAAUCCCGAGCUUAAAAACAUCCGAUCCCGGAGUCCCGAUAAAGGUCCUAUCCCCCCUCAUUGAUGAGCAUUGAUUUCAUCGGUGUCAUACAAGUGAAAAAUCUAACUAGCUAUAAAACCAGGUUCAAUCCACCCUAUUCUACAAAUGACAAUGCUGUACCAAAUUAGAAAUAUGACAAUUGUUAUUUAUUCGUUCGAUAUUUUGAGUUUUCAAUUUGUCAAUAGAUGAAGGACUUUCCGUUUUGAAUUUUCCUCGGAGUUCAGUAUUUUUGUGAUUUUACUUUUUAUGUUUAAAGAGUAACCUGUUGUAAAAAAAACAACAUCAAACUAAAGGUUGCUGACUUCGUUGGGCAUAACAGUAACAUAGAAUAAAUCGGACUAUAAUCUGUUAUCGGUAAUCUAUUAUAAUUCUAUGGACAGAAAUACAAUGAUUUAUAGAUUUAUGGUAUUGAACGUCACUUUCAUCAAUAUUUUGUUUAUUUUGUGGCGAGCAAUUUAAUUGGUAAAUGGAAGCGAGUACCAGCAUAGACCAAACAACCUUCGUCAGGAAAUUGGUAAUUUUAGUCAAUCAUAUUCAGAGUCGAACGCACCUGCUUUGGGCGUUAAUGUACAUUCUAGAUUAUAUAUGUUCCCUUCCGAUGUAUUAUGCAUCGUGAUUUACCUGCGAACACGUUAAAAAAGGAACAAAUGAUAAUUAGUGUAUAUAAAACGAGAUGUUCAGAUAUGUACCGAAUAUGAAAUUAUGAUAUGGCAUUAUAAAAUUGAGAAUGGAAAUGGGGAAUGUGUCAAAGAGACAACAACCGACAAAAUAAAAAAAACACACAGCAGAAGGUCACAACAGGUCUGCAAUGUAGCGAGAAAUUCCGCACCCGGAGGCGUCCUUCAGCUGGCCCUAAACAAAUAUAUCUAGUUCAGUGAUAUGAACGCCAUACUAAUUUCAAAUUGUACACAAGAACUAAAAUUUAAAUAAUACAAGACUAAAAAAGGCCAGAGGUCCUGAUUGGACAGCCAAAAAUGCGGCGGGGUUAAACAUGUUUGUGAGAUCUCAACCCUCCCCCUAUACCUUUAACCAGUGUAAAAAAGUAAAAUAUACAAUGCAAAUGGCAUAGCAACUUGUAACUAGCAUGCAUCUGAUUAAAUAAUUUUCAAUUUCAGUAUCCACCUUCGGUGAAUCUUGUAGAUACGUGCAUAAUUGUCGUAACACAAGGUGUGUAAACCGGACAGGGAUCAAUUGUAUCAAAAACUUGUGUGCUUGUGUAUAUUUGACCAACACUA